AAAAAAUAUUCAACAGCUUUUACCAGCCAGAGGCUCCAAUAUCCAAUCUCUGUCUCAAAUGAUAAAUGACAUUUGUCAGUUGACAAAGCGAAUGGCCUCAACCAUUUGAGGACAUGGUCCCGCUGUGCACAACGCUCCUGUUGAACCAGCCAAGAGCACCUUGAGGUGUGGAGGCCCAGACACUGGGCUGGUGCUGAGAGGCUGCAGCAGGAGGAUGGAUAUUAGGGAUGCUGGAUGGAGCCCCAGAUUGGACAGGGGUGCGUGAGGGCUCUAAACGGUGGAUUCUACUGGGAAGCCGGUGGUGACAGGGUGAGAGCCAAGGCUCAAUGACCCAGCCAUGUGUUCUAAGGCAUGGGAGGAUGACUUAAAUCCAGGUAACAGUAAUGGGAUCCAGAAACAACAGAAAAGUUAUGGCCCAUACAUCUUCAAUUGCAAUUACAGAAGGAAGUUUGCAAAGCCUUGGUGGAGGACUCUCUGAAGAAGGGCAAACAGUCCCCAAGGGGGAGGAGCUGCUUGCUGCAGGAACGCUGUCGCCAGCAAUUAUUAGUUCACUCCUGCUGGAUCUGUCCUAGAGGCCUCCCGUGCACAAGAAUGUGAAGACUGUUGGCAGCUGCUAGCUGGAGAAGCCCUGAUCCACCUCAAGGGACGAAGGUGGGACUCUCACAAGGUUGCUCCCUGACUCCCACCCUCACCCCUGCUCUUGGAAGAAAGAAUGCCUGCUUUCUUUUCAGCCUGGGUUCCAGCUGGGAUGCCUAGGGUGCAGUGUUCCAGAGAUGGUGGCUGGUCUUGGAGAAGGGAUAGAAGUUAGGCUAGAAGACUGGAACUUAUGCAAAUCAAGCUCAAGGGUGACUCAAGGAGAGCUUAACCCCUGCCUGUGUCCCCCUUCUCCUCAAUAGAGCCUGAUAGGACACCUUGCAAAGAAAGAAAAAGACUCCCAGGAAAACAUCCUUUAUGUUAAGUUGCCCAGGAGGGUUUGUGUGUUUGUAUGGGGAGGGCGAAGGAGACUUUCCCUCUGAAGCAAUUUCUUGCGAAAAUGGUCCACGAGUUGAAAUGCCUUUGGGGCAGAGAGGAUUAUCGGGAAGAAAAGCUGGUUCAGGAAACAGAACUGGGUUAAUGGCUGCAUUAGGUUUAGGCACAAGCCAAGCGAUUCUUCUGAGGUCUAGAGGUCUCUAGAACUUUUAUUUGGAAGAGUCAGGCUAUUUUGGGCUUCUGCACUGAAUGAUCCCAGGGGCUAUCGUUCUUCUUCACAUAGAUUAUUCAAUUAGGGGUAACCUAGGACACUAUAGAGACACGCACCAUUCCACAUGCCCACUUUCUUGUAUGAUAAAUCAUGAAUUCUCAGGUGCUAAAGUCACCGGAUUUCCCUGGUUUAAAACUUUCUCUUUUUGCCCCCUCCCAACCCACCAAACCUGCUUUGCUUUCCUUAGCAUAACUGACUACCAUAGAGAUAACUGGGAUUAUUCUCUUAGAGAGGCUUCCCAAACCCUUAAGGAAAACAGAGUAACACAGUGAGAGGGCCUGAUGAGACCUGGGGUGCCAUGGAAGCCAUGAUUACAAACCCGGGAGUUUGAUUUAUUUCUUAAAUUCAGACAUGAAGGCUAUUCGGUGUGGCAUGGAUUUUCUAUUUCUCCCCAAGUCCAGGAUUCCAUGCUAUUUCACAGUUACCUGCUUACGUCAGUCAAUUUACUUGUCUGCUUCAAGGUAGGUGGGUACAUCUUGGACUGAUGGAACACCAGGUAAUGGCCUCACUUUAAAAACGGAGAAACUGAGGCUCAGUUGGUCCUAUCUGUCACAUUUGCUUAAUAUACAUAUUAAUAUACAUGUACAUAUAUAUAUAUUUAAAGAGGUGAGCUGGAAGGGAAAGUCUGAGGAGAGACUCUCAAGUCAGGAGACAUUGCCCAGGGUCUCAUUGGCUGUUUGUUGACUGAACCGUUGAAGCCAUCUCUUCUUGGUUUCCUCAAUUAUAAAUUUUGAGUGUUGAGAUACAUAGCUUCAGAUAUUCUGUCUACUUCAUUCUUUGAUUUUUUUCCCCCCUCACAAAAGAUAAGAGGCUCUACUGGCAAAGAUGAAUGGUUGAAUUCUCUUAGGAGUCCACAUCUCAGCAGAGUUUAUAUACCAUCAAUAACUUGUUCAAAACACACAGGAAUCAUUUUCUUAGUUGUCUGUUGGUUAAUAUGAAGCUAAUGGGACUACUGUGUGAUCUUUCUAAUUUAAAUAGAAUGGACUAAAAAUCGGAUUGAUCCUUUAGUAGGCAUCUCAGUUUUGGCUGUUUUCAGCAUGUAAUCCCAUGUUUUGUGGAAAGGUAUUUUGCUCUAAAGUCUGAGUUGUUUAUGUAUAGUAAAGAUUACAGCUGACCUCUGUUCACGAUUACUGCAGGUAGUUUCUAUUAUGUAGGGAUUUCUCAGUGAUUGUUUUUGGUUAUUUGUUGUGGGCCCUCUGGAUCCCAUUGGAGAGCACAUGGUAACGAAGUAACCAGGAAACAGUGGCCUCCAUCGUUUCUACAAACGAGAUAAAUGAAGACACAUGCUGCCUAUGCCAGAACGACCACACCUGUCAUUUGAAGUCUGGGGAUUGAUUGGGAAGAAGAGGAACUGGAGAUUGUGUUCUCUCACACAGAACCCAACAGAAGUCACAUGAUUCAAGUUAACACAUCUAUGUAACAAAACCCAGACAAAAACUCCAUACAUCAAAGCUUGACAACGUGAUAUUUACAUGAUAUUUUGAAGGACUUUGGAACCAUUGAAAGACAAGCUUUGGAGUGGAGUUUGACUUUAUAAGUUAUCCCAUUCACCUCAUCUUCUUGAGAGAACCCCUAAGAACAUCCCUGAGUGGUGGAAAAUGGAGCAUGUUCAAUCAAGAACAGCCAAGUACUCAGGGGACUGCUAUAAAUGACACCGUUAGCUGCUAUGAUGCGAUCACCAUGUGCCUUUCAUAAGACCCAAACCAACAAGGGUAACCAUUGGUCAUAAGCUAAAAUCCUCAAAACUAAUUGGAAGUCGAAAGGGAAUACAACCUACAUCUCCGACCUCUUGAACAGCACAUUUAUUCACCAGUCCCAUAAGAUCAGGGCUCUGAGUGAGCCCGGAAGCCCAAGGAAUAAAGAUGAAGACAAAUGCACCAUAAAGGGAAAGAAAAGAAAUACUAAAACUAGAUCCAUCCCUCAAGAGAUCUCAUAGGCUCUACUUUCAAACUGACAUCCAGAGCCUGGCCACAUCCCACUGCCUCACAGCUCUCUCACAGGUUCACUUGAGCGUCUCUCUGUACAGCGGCUUCCCAUCUCCCACAGAAGAAAGCUCUACAUGACUAACCCCCUGCUUCUGAUCUCCUUCUCUGUUACCACAUCCCCGGUGUAUUCAUACUGCCUCCCUGUGUCUCAAAGCUUCCCAGGGUGAUGCAACCAAGUCCAUUGCUCAGAGUUUUCUGUGGAGGCAACAGCUGUGUAGUGUGGCCAGAUCUACACUGCAGAGGAAAAUGAGCAGAAAGCGAUUUGAUAUUCCAUCUGAGAAGAGCACAGACCAACCUUGACCCAAGAGUCUCUCACUCACUUAUUUACUUAGUGUUCUCACAAUAGCAACAAAGAUAUCUUCCUCCCACUUACUGCUGGAUUGAUGCUGGAAAUCCUGUGGGUACAGAUUCAUUCUGUUCACUUAAAACAUCUCAUUCUCCUAAAAUACAAACUUUACAGAGGGAAGCACAGCACAGGAGGGCUUAAUUAUUGAGCCCCACACAUCUUUAGGAUUCAAGCAGAGCCGUGUUUACCUGCCUUUUUUUUUUUUAACCUGACCACUGGUAUCAACUUUGAUGCUUGAAGGAGGCGACUGGAUCAUCAUCUUUCUGGAUGAGAGAGAUGUGAGGGGCUUUGGGACACUAGGCUCCAGUUCGGUGGCUUGAAAGUACAAUGGACCAUGAAGAUUCUACACAACCAUGUUGGCAGCAGCAAUGUACUCACUGAUGGACCCAUCCUCAGCCUCUGGAGACCACUGUUCUAUUGUCUAGCUCUAUAAGAUCAACGUUCUAGACGCAUAGACAAUUAUCCCAAAUGGUAGAAGAAGCAGGAAAUUAUGUAUUGCCCUAUAUAUGACAUUCCCUCCUGGAGAGCACGCCAUUUAUCAUGGCUUUUUAAUCUCCUCUGUGUGCAAGAGAAGAUAAAACAUCUCAAUAUUUCAGUGUUUGGAGAAGAUUAAAGCACCAGCAAACAUUCUUGUUUGUUUUGUCCACUCCUUGGGCUGCAUCUAAGUGGGUCAGAGUGACUUAGGUGACUUGUAUACGCCAUCAAGAAUUUGGCUGUUGACUUUAAGUUUGUGGGAACCCUGAGGAAGUCAUGUAAGGACCCCUAGCAGAAAAG